rnacentral:snoRNA from 1 species
AUGUGUCCACUAUAGAUGCAGGAAAAAUGUCCUCGCGCUUUCUGUCUGAGUGUGCCAGCCAAGAUUGAAUAGAGGAAUACAGAG